UACGGGGGGAGCAAGCGUUGUUCGGAUUUACUGGGCGUAAAGGGCGCGUAGGCGGCCAGCACAAGUCAGUUGUGAAAUCUCCGAGCUUAACUCGGAAAGGUCAACUGAUACUGUGCGGCUAGAGUGCGGAAGGGGCAACUGGAAUUCUUGGUGUAGCGGUGAAAUGCGUAGAUAUUAGGAAGAACACCGAUAGCGAAAGCACUCUGCUGGGCCUGAACUGACACUGAGAGACGAAAGCUAGGGGAGCAAAAAGG
rnacentral:rRNA from 1 species